UGUCAAAUUUGUUAUAAAUUCUGUGAAAAUCUUACAAAAUUUUGCACUUUAUUACUGUCCAUUUGGACUAACUGAUUGGAUUUCAUCUGAUCAAAUUUAAAUUACUGGCUACCAAUUACCGUAAACAGAAUGUUGAAGGGCUUGCUAAUAUUCGCUACUGGAGUAUACGGCGGAAUCUAUGCCUGUCAGAAUUACGAUGUACCUAGAGUUGACGAUCCGCAGAAGAUUCUAGAAAAAGUCCAAGAGUUUAUAGAAACAUACAAGAAGAAACCUUAGUCGAGUCAUGCAUGCUAGUUAACGAAUGGAGAAUUGUUUCAAGUAUUUUUAACACAAAACAUUAGCAAAAAUAAAAAAUUAUAAUUUUCUUAAA